rfam:Drosophila virilis strain TSC#15010-1051.87 Ctg01_13793, whole genome shotgun sequence.
AUGUGCCUUAAGUAGUAACCAUUAAGAGGUUGUUGUUAGAUUUAAAUCCACCUUUUAAUGUACUACUUAUGACAAAUG